AGAGUUUGAUCAUGGCUCAGAGUGAGCGCUAGCGGUGCGCCUAACACAUGCAAGUCGCGCGCCUCGCAAGAGGAGCGGCAAACGGCUGCGUAACACGUUGGAACCUGCCCCAGACUCAGGGAUAACCCGCCGAAAGGUGGGCUAAUACCGGAUGGUCCCGCGAGGGUAAAGCUUCGGCGGUCUGGGAGGGGCCUGCGGCCUAUCAGCUAGUUGGUGAGGUAACGGCUCACCAAGGCGAUGACGGGUAGCUGGAUUGAGAGAUCGACCAGCCAGAAUGGGGACUGAGACACGGCCCAUACUCCUACGGGAGGCAGCAGUGAGGAAUCUUCCGCAAUGGGCGAAAGCCUGACGGAGCGACACCGCGUGGUGGAUGAAGGCCCUCUGGGUCGUAAACACCUGUUCUGAGGGACGAAAUUUUUGACGGUACCUCAGGAGAAAGCAUCGGCAAACCCUGUGCCAGCAGCCGCGGUAAGACAGGGGAUGCAAGCGUUACUCGGAAUCACUGGGCGUAAAGCGUCUGUAGGCGUCUUGGAAAGUCUGAGGUGAAAUUUCGGAGCCUAACUCCGAACCCAUCUUGGAAACUCCCGAGAUUGAGCAAUAGAGAGGCACCUGGAAUGCCAUGUGUAGGAGUAAAAUCCGUAGAUACAUGGUAGAACGCCAAAAGUGAAGACAGGGUGCUAGCUAUUCGCUGACGCUGAGAGAUGAAAGCGUGGGGAGCAAAGCGGAUUAGAUACCCGCGUAGUCCACGCCCUAAACGAUGUGUGCUCGGUGUAGGAGGUUUUCAAUUGCCUUCUGUGCCUUAGCUAACGCGGUAAGCACACCGCCUGGGAAGUACGGCCGCAAGGCUAAAACUCAAAGGAAUAGACGGGGACCCACACAAGCGGUGGAACAUGGGGUUUAAUUCGAUAGUAAGCGAAGAACCUUACCCAGGCUUGACAUCUCGGGAAUCCCCCAGAAACGGGGGAGUGCCGCAAGGAGCCCGAAGACAGGCGCUGCACGGUUGUCGUCAGCUCGUGCCUUGAGGUGUACGGUUAAGUCCGCGAACGAGCGCAACCCUCACCUUAUGUUGAUAUUUCAUAAGAGACUGCCGCCUCCAAGGCGGAGGAAGGUGGGGAUGACGUCAAAUCAGCGUGGCCCUUAUGCCUGGGGCGACACCCAUGUUACAAUGGCCGGUACAGAGGGCAGCUAGCCAGCGAUGGUAAGCCAAUCCCAAAAAGCCGGUCUCAGUUCGGAUUGAAGUCUGCAACUCGACUCCAUGAAGUUGGAAUCGCUAGUAACCGUGAAUCAGCCACGUCACGGUGAAUAUGUUCCUGGGUCUUGUACUCACCGCCCGUCAAGUCAUGAAAGGUGGGAGCACCUGAAAACCCGUUACUCUUACGAGGCGGGGCUACGGUGAAACCACUGAUUGGGACUAAGUCGUAACAAGGUA
rnacentral:rRNA from 1 species